GGGGUAUGUAUGCAUUUUUUUUGGCCCUUUUUGUUGUUGUUGUUGGGUGUUUUUUGUUCCUUUGUUUUUUAGAGAUUUUUUUAAGAGAGAAAGCACAUAAGAAAACCAGGUAGGCUGACUGCAGAUCUUCUCCUCCCUCUGUUUCCUUACAUCCAAUCCCCUUGUUGCAUCUCCAGCUCUGCAGCAGAACACCUGUGGUAGCCUUCUGGGAUGUAGGGAUGUUCUCAUCUCCUGUGACUCCCACGGAUCUUCUUCUAAUAUCCCUCUCCCCACUCAUUGUUUUCACCCAGCCCCUCAACCCUAGCACUGGGAACGCAGCAGCUGAGCAGGCCAAGGAAAGCAGAAUGACCACAGAAUUGUGGCCACUGUAGAAGACAGCUAUGGGCACAAAAAUGAGGACAGUUCCCAGCAGUGCACUUUUCACCACAAGCCUCUUUAUCGCCAAAUUCUGCAACCAAUACCUGAAUGUUUCCCAUAUGUGACAUGGCAUUUAGUCAUUUCUGUUCUUUCGUGAAAAUGCUUCACUUCUGCUUAGACUCCAGAUCUAGGCUCAGCUUCUUCUUCCCACGUCUAAUCCUGAAAAAGGUCCAUACAGU
rnacentral:lncRNA from 1 species